rnacentral:tRNA from 2 species
ACAGUGGUGGUUCAGAGGUAGAAUUCUCACCUUUCAUGUGGGAGACCUGGGUUCGAUUCCCAGCCAGUGCA